UUGUUACUCCUCAUAAAUUCAUUCAAGCACUUCUCAUUAAUAUAUAUAGGUUGUAUCAAUAGCUAUAUAUAUACGUUGAUAUAUACAUAUAUGUAUGUGUUCUUAAAUGUGUUGUAUAUGAAAACUAAACAUAUUGAGGUUGUUAUAUGUCUGUGUAUAAAAGUCAUAAAAAAAGUGAAUGUUUUAGAGAGAAGAUAGAUUAGUUUUAAU
rnacentral:lncRNA from 1 species